AAUAAUCUUUCAAUGAUUGUUGACAAGCAGUUCAAAGAAAAAGAGAAUCUUUGCUCAGUUGGUGAAGAAAAAAGCGUGCAAGCGUGAUCUUUUUAACGAUUAUUUGAAGCUCUGCUACGAUAAUACAGGUUUGUACUGCUA